rnacentral:lncRNA from 1 species
UUCUAUUUUCUUCAUAUUACAUGAACAAAUCAAGUAUUACACAUUAAUAAUUCCUAAAACAACCAACCAUCUACUGAAGCUACAAAGCAAAGAAAAAGGGAAAAAUGUUAUCAAUACAUGAUUGAAAUCGAUCGGUGCAUUGAUGAAGCGAGCAACUCGAAGGAGUAACAAGUACGAAGAUUAACUCAAUAUUUGACUGAAGAACGUAACGAAAACGAAGAAUAGCCAAAGCAGCUCUCUGCGAAGAAGAAAAAAGAAUCGGA